rnacentral:rRNA from 1 species
CCUACGGGGGGCUGCAGUGGGGAAUAUUGGACAAUGGGGGCAACCCUGAUCCAACCAUGCCGCGUGUGUGAAGAAGGCCCUCGGGUUGUAAAGCACUUUCAGUGAGGAAGAACGCCUGGUGGUUAAUACCCAUCAGGAAAGACAUCACUCACAGAAGAAGCACCGGCUAACUCCGUGCCAGCAGCCGCGGUAAUACGGAGGGUGCGAGCGUUAAUCGGAAUUACUGGGCGUAAAGCGCGCGUAGGUGGCUUGAUAAGCCGGUUGUGAAAGCCCCGGGCUCAACCUGGGAACGGCAUCCGGAACUGUCAAGCUAGAGUGCAGGAGAGGAAGGUAGAAUUCCCGGUGUAGCGGUGAAAUGCGUAGAGAUCGGGAGGAAUACCAGUGGCGAAGGCGGCCUUCUGGACUGACACUGACACUGAGGUGCGAAAGCGUGGGUAGCAAACAGGAUUAGAUACCCUAGUAGUC